GUGUUCAUUUCAGCAGCGCAAAUACUAAAAUUGGAAUGAUACAGAGAAGUUAGCAUGGCCCUUGCGCAAUGAUGCCACACAAAUUUGUGAAGCGUUCCAUAUUUCU
rnacentral:snRNA from 1 species